rnacentral:rRNA from 1 species
UACGGGGGGAGCAAGCGUUGUUCGGAUUUACUGGGCGUAAAGGGCGCGUAGGCGGCCAGCACAAGUCAGUUGUGAAAUCUCCGGGCUUAACUCGGAAAGGUCAACUGAUACUGUGCGGCUAGAGUGCAGAAGGGGCAACUGGAAUUCUCGGUGUAGCGGUGAAAUGCGCAGAUAUCGAGAGGAACACCUGCGGCGAAGGCGGGUUGCUGGGCUGACACUGACGCUGAUGCGCGAAAGCCAGGGGAGCGAACGGG